rnacentral:rRNA from 1 species
AUUGAACGCUGGCGGCAUGCUUUACACAUGCAAGUCGGCCGGCAGCACAGAGAAGCUUGCUUCUUGGGUGGCGAGUGGCGAACGGGUGAGUAAUAUAUCGGAACGUACCGAGUAAUGGGGGAUAACUAAUCGAAAGAUUAGCUAAUACCGCAUAUUCUCUGAGGAGGAAAUCAGGGGACCUUCGGUCCUUGCGUUAGUCGAGCGGCCGAUAUCUGAUUCGCUAGCUGGUGGGGUAAAGCCCUACCAAGGCGACGAUCAGUAGCGGGUCUGAGAGGUAGAUCCGACACACUGGGACUGAGACACGGACCAAGAGCCUUCGGCAGGGAGCAGUGUGGAAUUUUGGACAACGGGCGCAAGCCUGAUCCAGCCAAGCCGCGUGUCUGAAGAAGGCCUUGGGUUUGUAAAGGCGUUUUGUGAGGUAAGAAAAGGUUCUGCCUAAGAUCAAGAGUUAAUGGCGGUAACGGAAGAAUAAGCACCGGCUAACUACGCG